UACAGGGAAAUUGAAUAAUAAAUUAUCAAUUGAAUGAUCAAUGAUGUAAAAUAUGAUAUUUUUUCCGUGGUUAUACUGUUGCUAAAUUGACUUUUCUCUCCAAGAAAUCUUCUGAAAACUUCACACCACCACCUGAAUGCCCACUCCCAAGUGGUCGGGGCUCCACGGGAAUGCUGACCACACUUCCUCUCAGGGGCAGACCUGCAGGGCUGCUCCUCCCCAGUGCCCUUCUUCUCUUACUGUGAGACUAUGUCAGCACAUUAUGAUUAUGAUGCAGCAGCAAUAGAACAAUGCCCAGAGCAGCCUGGACUGCGCUUCUUUUACUAAGUGGUUAUUUCCUGCUGGGUAGACAUAAACACCUGCUAAAGAAAUGUGAAAAGAGUGGAAACGUGCUGUUUGGAGAUUAUUUUCCUAGUCGACAUCCAGGAGAUCUCCAGAGAUCUAUUUCAGCCCCAUCUGUUGAUUCCAUCAUGAAAAAGAGGAAGCUCAAACUGAAGUGAGUUAAAAACUUCAUCUCCUAGAGAAGAUUGUGGCUCAGCCUGAGUUGAGUUUUUUAUGUGUAUAUGCAAGUGCAAUGAAGAAGAACACCAGCAAGUCUACCACGAGGAUCAAUGAGCAAGAUGCUCUCUGCACCCCACACUCCCAUGAUCCAAGAGAUCUUCAAAGUAUGUUGGAUGGAGGAGAGUAUGCCCCUUUUGUAUCUCCUCCCAUGUUAGAGAGCAAUUUUAUCCAGGUUAACAGGAGAGGUGAAUCCAUUUACCUUCAUAACCGAGCCAACUGGGUGACCGUAGGCAUCUGUUCUUCCAGUUCCACCCACAAGAUCCCUAAUGUGAUGCUACUGGCACAUCUGACACCUGGUUCCCGGAAAGAUACAGAACCGCUAUUUAAAAGUCUCCUGACAUCUCCUCCUGCAGAGAAACUGGUGCUCACCAGGUUUCUCCCUCUGCAGUUUGUGACUCUUUCUGUGCAUGACGCAGAGAACAUGCGCCUAAAAGUAAAGCUGGUGAGUGGUCGAGCCUACUACUUACAGCUCUGCACUUCUGCAUGUAAACAAGACACCUUGUUUUCUCAAUGGGUGGCCCUCAUCUCCCUCUUGAAUCAGGAGAAAGCGAAAGUUUCCAAAGUGUCAGAGGUUUCAAGUCUCUCAGGAAUUACGAAUAGCACAGACGUCACAGGCUCCACGGACGUGAUGGAUAUCACAGCGUUCACAGCCAUCCUGACCCCGUACAUGUACGCAGGUAGAGGCCCUGAACAUGUCAGGGACAGCAUAGAUUUCUCAGAAUUCACAGACAUCACCGACAUCACAGAUGUCACAGACCUUCCAGAAAAUGAGGUCCCAGAGGUCCCGGAUAUAAGAAUUGUUACAGAAGUCAUAGAAGUCAGAGAAGCCACAGAAGUCACAGACAACUCUGAUAUUACAAACUGCUCGGGAGUCACAGUGGUGUUUGAAAACAAUGACUUAAUCAGGGCCAAGCAAGAGGAGAAGGAAAAAUUGAAAAACAUUCUGAAGCCUGGGUGUCUACAAGAUACAAAAAGUAAGAGUGAGUUGAAAGAAUCCUCAAAACAUGUCACCAUCUCAAACAUAACACUGACUUUUGAAGGUAAAAGAUAUUUUCAAACUACCUUGACUCCAGUAGAAAGUGAGGCAAAUACAUCCAAGGAGAUGGAGAAUAAGACCUCUGAAGAAAAGACACCUGAUUUUCAGAGCACGGCUCUCGAGGCUGAAGAAUCCAGGAGCUUGAGAACUGAAUCAAACACUUCAGGUAUGGAACAAAUGCCACUACAUAUUUUACUGUGAUCCCUGGUAUCCAGUAGUCAUCUCUGGUUCCUCCAAGAGUAGGGUGGUUAAGAGCAAAGGAAUUCAGCUAGACUUUUGGAUGCCUUUCCUUUCUUCACGAUGCUCCAUUCUGAGAAUCCUACACUGAAGAAACUCUUUCUCAAAGCUGAUCCUCAGGCUAUCUUCCAAGUGGAAAACAUUAUGACUUUUGAAUUAAAUGGACUGACUUCUCCACCUUUUCUAAAAAUCAGAUACAAACUACUAAACUAAAAAGCAAACACAGCUCAGGAAAAGACAUUCAGCGCAAGAGGAAAACCAAGCAGUGUCUUCUAUGUGGCAGAAAUAAAGCCUAUUACUAAUUAUUAAGAAUUCAAAUCCAUGUCAACCUAAUUUCAUAAAACUCAACUAUUUUAA